AGUGGCGGACGGGUGAGUAACGCGUGAGAAUCUGCCUUUGGGUCGGGGACAACCACUGGAAACGGUGGCUAAUACCGGAUAAGCCGAUUGGUGAAAGAUUUAUUGCCCGAAGAGGAGCUCGCGUCUGAUUAGCUAGUUGGUGAGGUAAGAGCUCACCAAGGCAGCGAUCAGUAGCUGGUCUGAGAGGACGAUCAGCCACACUGGGACUGAGACACGGCCCAGACUCCUACGGGAGGCAGCAGUGGGGAAUUUUCCGCAAUGGGCGAAAGCCUGACGGAGCAAGACCGCGUGAGGGAGGAAGGCUCUUGGGUUGUAAACCUCUUUUCUCAGGGAAGAAGCUCUGACGGUACCUGAGGAAUCAGCCUCGGCUAACUCCGUGCCAGCAGCCGCGGUAAUACGGAGGAGGCAAGCGUUAUCCGGAAUUAUUGGGCGUAAAGCGUCCGCAGGUGGCGAUUCAAGUCUGCUGUCAAAGCACGGGGCUUAACUCCGUAAAGGCAGUGGAAACUGAAUAGCUAGAGUGCCGUAGGGGUAGAGGGAAUUCCCGGUGUAGCGGUGAAAUGCGUAGAGAUCGGGAAGAACAUCGGUGGCGAAAGCGCUCUACUGGACGGCAACUGACACUCAGGGACGAAAGCUAGGGGAGCGAAUGGGAUUAGAUACCCC
rnacentral:rRNA from 1 species